UACAGAGGGUGCGAGCGUUAAUCGGAAUUACUGGGCGUAAAGCGCGCGUAGGCGGCUUUGCAAGUCGGGUGUGAAAUCCCCAGGCUUAACUUGGGAACUGCAUCCGAUACUGGAUGGCUUGAAUCCGGGAGAGGGAUGCGGAAUUCCAGGUGUAGCGGUGAAAUGCGUAGAUAUCUGGAGGAACACCGGUGGCGAAGGCGGC
rnacentral:rRNA from 1 species